AUUGAACGCUGGCGGCAGGCCUAACACAUGCAAGUCGAACGAGUGGCGGACGGGUGAGUAAUGUCUGGGAAACUGCCUGAUGGAGGGGGAUAACUACUGGAAACGGUAGCUAAUACCGCAUACCAUCGGAUGUGCCCAGAUGGGAUUAGCUAGUAGGUGGGGGAAAGGCUCACCUAGGCGACGAUCCCUAGCUGGUCUGAGAGGAUGACCAGCCCAAAUGGAACUGAGACACGGUCCAGAUCCCGACGGGAGGGAGCAGGAGGGAAUGUUGGACAAUGGGCGCAAGGCUGAUGGAUCCAUGCCGCGUGGAUGAAGGAGGGCUUCGGGGUUGAAAGGUCUUUCAGGAGGGGGGCGGUACCCCCACAAGAAGCACCCGCUAAAUCCGUGCCAGCAGCCGCGGUUAUUC
rnacentral:rRNA from 1 species